rnacentral:lncRNA from 1 species
GCUAGCUACAUCAGAAGAAAUUACGUCAAAAUCUAGGUUGGGGGAGAGCACCCCCAUUUAUCCAGCUAAGUGUUUCUACUCGCGUUUAUAUUUUACUCAAAUAAUAAAAAGAUGCAUAAUCAUGAAAACCCAAAUAAAAAUUUUGUGCUUAUAUAUAUCUUUGUUUAGUUUGCUAAAUAAAUAAAUAAAGUGCCUAGGCCAAACUGAACUUAAAUGAUAAACUCUUACAUGGAUAUAAUAAAUAGUUGCUCUGCCAUGUACCUAGUUUUCAAGUUUGAGCUCUCGCUCGAGUUUAGGCAUAACUGUUAUAAUUUAAACCUGCUCUAAACCUGAACUUGUGGGAAGAGUACUUGAUCUAAAGCCUAAGUUGUUAACGGAUAUGAUAUGGGAAGGUUGAGCUGCUGUUUAUCUAUUCCUAGAGAUGCUAGAAUUCUGGAGAAUUUUAUCUUUGAAAAUCUUUAAAAUAACACAUGAUGAGUUCGUGUAUGAUGAGAGUUGAAAAUCCUACCACAGCCAUAUAUACAUGCUUGCUAGACUUUGAGCCACACAUUUACUUUUUACUGCUUAUGAGCAUUGAGUGUGGUCAAGCUGUGUAGACCCUUAGGAGCUUGUCAUACGGUUAAAAUGAAGACUCACUUGCACGUUCACUCAUACAUGCUACUUCUACUCCGGAAGUACGCAUCCACAUACAUUCACUCAAUUCCAUCUCCAGAUUCACCUAAAAUUAUUCUAAUCCUAUUCGGGAGAGAAUAGCCAAAAACAUUCUCCUAUUUCUGUUUUUCCUUGUGAAAUAAAUGCUCGAGUUAUCUUGGUUACUAUCACUUGCUAUAUUUUAGGAGAUGAGUGCUCUAAAAAAAGGAAAGAAAAAAAGAGAGAAAGAACACGAGGAAAUAAAAAGGGGCAAGUGCCCGGAACCUCGAAUAAAAGAAAAAGUGAGACGAGAGGUAAAAAUGGACAAGUGUCUGACAGUAGAAUUAGGGGUGCAAGAUAACCACAUGAGAGGAAAGAAAAGAAAAAUAUAGAGCAUCUCAUUCUCCUCAAAAAGCUUCAAAGUGCAAGAAAGGUAUGUAUCCCCUUAAAAGAGCAAAAGUAGAAUUAGACUUUCACCAUUGUUAUCACCAUCAUCACCAUACACCAUUCACUCGCCACACACGCACAUCUUGAUUUGACUUAUUGACUUGUUUCUUUGGAUCCAUGGUUUGACUAUGCAAUAAAUGUCUUGUAAGUUGGUAUGCUUUAUCUUCCACCUAUGAGCUCUAGAUAUCAAAACCUUAUUAGAGUAGGGUGAGAGUGAAGGCAAUAUUACUAUGCCUCAUACCAAUAAUACCACAUACUUUGAGAGAAGGCAUAUACCAUUACUGCCUUGGUAAGGGUCCAGAAAUACCACAAAAGAGAGAUUUGAGAGAUUCAUAAAAGGAAUCUCUGAGUUUUAUUUGAAAAUCUGCAAAAAAAACUCCAGAGUUAUAGUUAAUCAAAGAACAAGAGACAUGGCACUUGACUAGACUGUUCUAUUUUUUAACUGCUCAAGACACAAGUGACGGUUGCAAGCCCCAUGGUAAAAGGUAAAAUGAGUAACUUUUAAGUCUUAACAGUUUACUCUAAC